CGAGGAAUCUUGGGCAAUGGGCGCAAGCCUGACCCAGCGACGCCGCGUGGAGGAUGACGGCCCUUGGGUUGUAAACUCCUUUUCUGGGGGACGAAGGCCGCAAGGCUUGACGGUACCCCAGGAAUCAGCCACGGCUAACUACGUGCCAGCAGCCGCGGUAAUACGUAGGUGGCGAGCGUUGUCCGGAUUUAUUGGGCGUAAAGCGCGCGCAGGCGGUCCAUCGCGUCCGGUGUGAAAUCUCCCGGCUCACCUGGGAGGGGGCGCUGGAAACGGAUGGACUGGAGGCAGGCAGAGGUCGGUGGAAUUCCCGGUGUAGUGGUGAAAUGCGUAGAGAUCGGGAGGAACACCAGUGGCGAAAGCGGCCGACUGGGCCUGUCCUGACGCUGAGGCGCGAAAGCGUGGGGAGCGAACCG
rnacentral:rRNA from 1 species